rnacentral:rRNA from 1 species
AACGAACGCUGGCGGCAGGCUUAACACAUGCAAGUCGAGCGAGACCUUCGGGUCUAGCGGCGGACGGGUGAGUAACGCGUGGGAACGUGCCCUUCUCUACGGAAUAGCCCCGGGAAACUGGGAGUAAUACCGUAUACGCUCCUCGGGGGAAAGAUUCAUCGGAGAAGGAUCGGCCCGCGUUGGAUUAGGUAGUUGGUGGGGUAAUGGCCCACCAAGCCGACGAUCCAUAGCUGGUUUGAGAGGAUGAUCAGCCACACUGGGACUGAGACACGGCCCAGACUCCUACGGGAGGCAGCAGUGGGGAAUCUUAGACAAUGGGGGCAACCCUGAUCUAGCCAGGCCGCGUGAGUGAUGAAGGCCUUAGGGUUGUAAAGCUCUUUCAGCUGGGAAGAUAAUGACGGUACCAGCAGAAGAAGCCCCGGCUAACUCCGUG